CAGCAGCCGCGGUAAUACGUAGGUGGCAAGCGUUGUCCGGAAUUAUUGGGCGUAAAGGGCUCGCAGGCGGUUUCUUAAGUCUGAUGUGAAAGCCCCCGGCUCAACCGGGAAGGGUCAUUGGAAACUGGGAAACUUGAGUGCAGAAGAGGAGAGUGGAAUUCCACGUGUAGCGGUGAAAUGCGUAGAGAUGUGGAGGAACACCAGUGGCGAAGGCGACUCUCUGGUCUGUAACUGACGCUGAGGAGCGAAAGCGUGGGGAGCGAACAGGAUUAGAUACCCCUGUAGUCCCUGUCUCUUAUAC
rnacentral:rRNA from 1 species